rnacentral:sRNA from 1 species
CACUUCGGUCCGGAGUUGAUGGGUUAUCAUUCUAGAAGCAUUCUGAAUUGUUUACUCUCUUCUGCUUGCAGGAGAACCCCCGGUUUCAUUGUGAAACCAAAUCUCUCGCAUUCUCAUUAAGAGUGCAAAACCUUCCCAUCAACACCAACUCGACCGUUGU